AAAAAGACAAACCCUGAUUUCCGUGUCCAACGUUUGGCCGUCCGUCUUAUUUGAAAAAAAAUUAAAAGACAAGUCACGCAUAAAGUAUUAAUCAUGUUUUAUCAUAUAACAAUAAUAAAAAUAUAAAUUAUAAAAAAAAUUCAUAUAAGACGGACAGUCAAAGUUGGACACGGAAACCCAGAGUCUGUUUUUUUU
rfam:Oryza sativa Japonica Group DNA, chromosome 10, cultivar: Nipponbare, complete sequence.